GACGAACGCUGGCGGCGUGCUUAACACAUGCAAGUCGAACGGAAAGGCCCUGCUUUCGUGGGGUGCUCGAGUGGCGCGCGGGUGUGUAACCCGUGAGUAACCUUCCCUUGACUGUAGGAUAACUUCAGGAAACUGGGGCUAAUACCGGAUAGGUGCUCCUGCUGCAUGGUGGGGUUUGGAAAGUUUCGGCCGUAGGGGAUGGACUCGCGGCUUAUCAGCUGGUUGGGUGGGUAGUCGCUAACCCAGGCUUCGGCUGGUAGCCGGCCUGAGAGGUGGAACGGGCACAUGGGGACUGAGAUACGGCGCAGACUCGUACGGGAGGCAGUAGGGGGGAACAUUGCACAAUCGGCGGAAGCCUGAUGCAGCAGCGCCGCGUGCGUGAUGACGUCCUUCGGGUUGUGAACCGCAUUCGCCUGAGACGUAGCGUGAGUGACGGUAAUGGGUAAAGAAGCACCGGCUAACUACGUG
rnacentral:rRNA from 1 species